GUGAAAAAGUAUUAGUGAUUUCUAAUUGAUUUUUGAUAUAAAUAAAGCAACUGGUUUAGAAAUAAUUGACUUCAAGAACAGCAUUACGUCGGAAAUUCAUAAAAGCUAACCUCUCAAGUAGCUGGAGACAACUCCCUCUUGUGAAGAGCC